rnacentral:ribozyme from 1 species
UGCCCAGCAACUCCUAUCCCUACCUCCUCGUGGUACUGGCCGGGGUACGAUUAACCUUGGGGAAGAUCGGGUAACCAACCCCCGGUGGGAACUUUGGUCGUAUGCUGACAGGGAAGG